GGGUGACGCUGUUCUAAAAUAUCACUGGGUGGAGAAAAUCAGAAAACCCUCGGUGAACCCUAGGAUUUGAUCUCCGCGGUAUCUCGAUCCGUGUUUUCUAUGCGAGCAAGGAAGGGGGAAGAGGAGAUUGUGGAUUUAGUCACCGAGAUAUCUCGAUCCGUGUUUUCGAGGCGAGCGGGUAGGGGUAGAGGAGAUGGCGAGCUGGAGAAGAACCCUAGGGAAUGUGAGGUCCUUCGUGGGAAACGCGACGGGAGGUCUCCGAGGAGGACCCAACCUUGCUUCGUGGGUGGUCGCCGGCACCUUGGCCUACUUCCUCUGGGUCAAGCCCGCCCAGGAUCUCAGGAAGGAGCAGGAGGAGAAAGCUGCUUUGGCUGCAGCCUCAGAUCCUUACCGCUACAUUGAGAAAACCAAACCCAUUCCAGAUCCUCAGGUAACCGGUUUGAUAUAUGGGAAGAGAGAGGAAACCACCAAAUCUGAGAGCUGAUUCUGAGAAUCUGGCGGCAAUAUGUUUGGAACCAGCAUUUUGAAGGGUUCUUCUUGCAUAUCCAAGGACUUUAUCAACAAAACAAAGUAAUGCACGGAUUUAUCCAUAUUUUGAAGAAAGAAAUAAAGGGACUUUUGCUUCACGGACUUACUGGAACAUGGAAUCCUUUUGCAAGCAGCCAAUAACACAUGGUCCCAGUUAAUAGUUUUAUAGGGAUUGAUAGUCAAGCCAAUUGUUUCCAUUUCUGUUUUAUCAUCCUGAUCUUAACUUAGCUUCAUGCCAAUGCAUUGAAUGUGUGCACAUACUGUUAUCUUCAAAUGAUUAUUCAGUUUCAGUUGA